rnacentral:rRNA from 1 species
GAGUAACACGUGAGUAACCUGCCCUUAACUCUGGGAUAAGCCUGGGAAACUGGGUCUAAUACCGGAUAUGACCUUCCAUCGCAUGGUGGUUGGUGGAAAGCUUUUUGUGGUUUUGGAUGGACUCGCGGCCUAUCAGCUUGUUGGUGAGGUAAUGGCUUACCAAGGCGACGACGGGUAGCCGGCCUGAGAGGGUGACCGGCCACACUGGGACUGAGACACGGCCCAGACUCCUACGGGAGGCAGCAGUGGGGAAUAUUGCACAAUGGGCGCAAGCCUGAUGCAGCGACGCCGCGUGAGGGAUGACGGCCUUCGGGUUGUAAACCUCUUUCAGUAGGGAAGAAGCGAAAGUGACGGUACCUGCAGAAGAAGCGCCGGCUAACUACGUGCCAGCAGCCGCGGUAAUACGUAGGGCGCAAGCGUUAUCCGGAAUUAUUGGGCGUAAAGAGCUCGUAGGCGGUUUGUCGCGUCUGCCGUGAAAGUCCGGGGCUCAACUCCGGAUCUGCGGUGGGUACGGGCAGACUAGAGUGAUGUAGGGGAGACUGGAAUUCCUGGUGUAGCGGUGAAAUGCGCAGAUAUCAGGAGGAACACCGAUGGCGAAGGCAGGUCUCUGGGCAUUAACUGACGCUGAGGAGCGAAAGCAUGGGGAGCGAACAGGAUUAGAUACCCUGGUAGUCCAUGCCGUAAACGUUGGGCACUAGGUGUGGGGGACAUUCCACGUUUUCCGCGCCGUAGCUAACGCAUUAAGUGCCCCGCCUGGGGAGUACGGCCGCAAGGCUAAAACUCAAAGGAAUUGACGGGGG